AGACGCCCUGGCCCGGGCCGCCCACUCCCGGGGCCGCCCACUCCCCAGGGCUGUCCUAUUCCUCCGGCUGCCCUCGGGGCACCUGAUUGGCAAGGUCCAGCACCCCGCAGUGUGCGAUCCACGCCGCACACAUUCCUCUAGUGCGCGCGCGCAGCCAUUUGGUAGUCUGGUCACCAGCGCUGCCUAGAACGAGGGCGGAACCGGUCUCUGUCGGGAGGACCUGCUGCUGCUGCCCUCUUGGUGGGCCCGGUACAGACAGCCUUUGUUGAUGGGAGGAACUAUUAACCAGACACUGAGCAACAAUAAGACCAGUCUCGGAACCUGGAUCCUAAUCGCCUGAUGCUGUCAAGACCUGGGCUUGGCAGUUUGUAGCUCAGCAGCACAGAGAAUUGGCAAGAGUAUUGUGAAGCUUGGGGAUUGAGGUCGGCUGAGGCUACACAGCAAAACACUGCCAAAAACCAAGACCCGGGCUGAAGAGAUGGCCCUGUGCAUAAGAACACUCGCUGUGGACCUGAGCCCGAUUCCUAGCACCCACAUAGCUGCUCACAUCAUAGUAACUCCA